CGAUCAUGGCGCCACUCGAUCCUUCCCAUAUUAGCGGUCCUCGCGUGUUUUGUGGGAUCAUGUGUGUCGUUUCCGAGGCCGGAAGCGGAGGCGAGACCGAGUCCCAGUCCCAAGCCACUUCUCGAUAAUCUCCUUUACUCUCUUCUGACACCCUUGUUACCUCUGCUCUGUGAGUUAUUAAGCCUUGUCGAUGGAGUAGUGGGUCUCCUCGACACAGUACUGGAACUCCUACCUGAGCUACUGGGCUCGGGACAAGUCCCUUACGACACGGUGUCCACUCUAUUCCCUGCUGUAUAAUCUAAACAUCGCUAAACAAGUGCGAACUUGACAUGGACUACUGAAUGCGUAAAACACCAUAAAAGUGCAAAAGAAAAAUCCCAGGUAUAUUUGUGGCUACCGUAAUUUGAUGUGGUAGUUUACAACUUAAACAAAUUCAAAAUCAAAACCAUGUUAAAAUUGUUUAAAACAGUACAAAUUAAUCAAUUUCUAAACAAUAUCUUCUUUCAUUAAUAAACAAAUGUCCAAACUAAUAUUUAUGUCUUGAAAUAAAUAUUUAUUUGUCAUAAAUAAUUAAUAAUUACAACCAAAAUGCUUUUUUAAUUCCCAAUAAAAUAAGGUCCAUUAUUUAGUAGUGUAAGGCAUAAUUUAAAUAAGACAAUGUACAAAUAGCCAAAUUUUUAAUAAAAACAUUAUUUUGUG